UACGUAGGGAGCAAGCGUUGUUCGGAAUUACUGGGCGUAAAGGGCGCGUAGGCGGCCUUCUAAGUCGAACGUGAAAUCCCUGGGCUCAACCCAGGAACUGCGUCCGAUACUGGAAGGCUUGAAUCCGGGAGAGGGAUGCGGAAUUCCAGGUGUAGCGGUGAAAUGCGUAGAUAUCUGGAGGAACACCGGUGGCGAAGGCGGCAUCCUGGACCGGCAUUGACGCUGAGGCGCGAAAGCCAGGGGAGCAAACGGGG
rnacentral:rRNA from 1 species